AUUUCCCUAGGAAUUUAUUCCUCUAAAGAGCCGUUCGAGACUAGGACGUUGAUAGGUUGGAUGUGGAAGCAUAGUGAUAUGUGAAGCUGACCAAUACUAAUUGCUCGUGAGGCUUGACUAUACAACACCCAAGCAGUUG
rnacentral:rRNA from 1 species